rnacentral:rRNA from 1 species
UACGGGGGGAGCAAGCGUUGUUCGGAUUUACUGGGCGUAAAGGGCGCGUAGGCGGUAGCACAAGUCAGUUGUGAAAUCUCCGGGCUUAACUCGGAAAGGUCAACUGAUACUGUGCGACUAGAGUGCAGAAGGGGCAACUGGAAUUCUCGGUGUAGCGGUGAAAUGCGUAGAUAUCGAGAGGAACACCUGCGGCGAAGGCGGCAUCCUGGACUGGUCCUGACACUCAGGAGCGAAAGCGUGGGGAGCGAGCCGG